rnacentral:rRNA from 1 species
AUGGUAGGAUAGAGGCCUACCAUGGUGGUAACGGGUAACGGGGUGUUAGGGCACGACACCGGAGAGGGAGCCUGAGAAACGGCUACCACAUCCAAGGAUGGCAGCAGGCGCGCAAAUUACCCAAUCCCGACACGGGGAGGUAGUGACAAUAAAUAACAAUACGGGGUUCUUUAGGAUCUCGUAAUUGGAAUGAGUACAAUUUAAAUCUCUUAACGAGGAACAAUUGGAGGGCAAGUCUGGUGCCAGCAGCCGCGGUAAUUCCAGCUCCAAUAGCGUAUAUUAAAGUUGUUGCAGUUAAAAAGCUCGUAGUUGAAUUUCGGGGUCAGUAGGUCGGUCGUGCCACUGGUAUGAACUGGUUUUACUGAUUCCUCCCUCUUGAAGAACUGUAAUGCCAUUAAUUUGGUGUUGCAGGGAAUCAGGACUGUUACUUUGAAAAAAUUAGAGUGUUUAAAGCAGGCUUUAGCUUGAAUACAUUAGCAUGGAAUAAUGAAAUAGGACGUUUGAUCCUAUUUUGUUGGUUUCUAGGAUUGACGUAAUGAUUAAUAGGGAUAGUUGGGGGCAUUAGUAUUCAAUUGUCAGAGGUGAAAUUCUUGGAUUUAUUGAAGACUAACUACUGCGAAAGCAUUUGCCAAGGAUGUUUUCAUUAAUCAAGAACGAAAGUUAGGGGAUCGAAGACGAUCAGAUACCGUCGUAGUCUUAACCAUAAACUAUGCCGACUAGGGAUCGGAUGAUGUUAAUUUUUUAAUGACUCAUUCGGCGCCUUACGGGAAACCAAAGUGUUUGGG